rnacentral:rRNA from 1 species
UACGGAGGGUGCGAGCGUUGUUCGAAAUUACUGGGCUUAAAGCGCGUGUAGGCGGGAAGGCAAGUGUCGGGUGAAAUCCCUCGGCUCAACCGAGGAACCGUCCGGCAAACUGCCUUUCUUGAGGCAGGGAGAGGUGACUGGAACGACGGGUGGAGCGGUGAAAUGCGUAGAUAUCCGUUGGAACGCCGGAGGCGAAAGCGGGUCGCUGGCCCUGUCCUGACGCUGAGACGCGAAAGCGUGGGGAGCGAACAGGAUUAGAAA